rnacentral:ncRNA from 2 species
UACGUAGGUGGCAAGCGUUGUCCGGAUUUACUGGGCGUAAAGGGAGCGUAGGCGGACUUUUAAGUGGGAUGUGAAAUACUCGGGCUUAACCUGAGUCGUGCAUUCCAAACUGGAAGUCUAGAGUGCAGGAGGGGAAAGUGGAAUUCAUAGUGUAGCGGUGAAAUGCGUAGAGAUUAUGAAGAACACCAGUGGCGAAGGCGACUUUCUGGACUGUAACUGACGCUGAGGCUCGAAAGCGUGGGGAGCAAACAGG